GAUGAACGCUGGCGGCGUGCCUAAUACAUGCAAGUCGAGCGAACGGACGAGAAGCUUGCUUCUCUGAUGUUAGCGGCGGACGGGUGAGUAACACGUGGAUAACCUCCCUAUAAGACUGGGAUAACUUCGGGAAACCGGAGCUAAUACCGGAUAAUAUUUUGAACCGCAGGGUUCAAAAGUGAAAGACGGUCUUGCUGUCACUUAUAGAUGGAUCCGCGCUGCAUGAGCUAGUUGGUAAGGUAACGGCUUACCAAGGCAACGAUGCAUAGCCGACCUGAGAGGGUGAUCGGCAACCCUGGAACUGGACCACGGACCAGACUCCUACGGGAGGCAGCAGUAGGGAAUCGUCCGCAAUGGGCGAAAGCAUGACGGAGCAACGCCGCGUGAGUGAUGAAGGUCUUCGGAUCGUAAAACUCUGUUAUUAGGGAAGAACAUAUGUGUAAGUAACUGUGCACAUCUUGACGGUACCUAAUCAGAAAGCCACGGCUAACUACGUG
rnacentral:rRNA from 1 species